rnacentral:rRNA from 1 species
UACGUAGGGUGCGAGCGUUAAUCGGAAUUACUGGGCGUAAAGCGUGCGCAGGCGGUUUUGUAAGCCAGGGGUGAAAUCCCCGGGCUUAACCUGGGAAUGGCAUUUGGGACUGCAAGGCUGGAGUGUGGCAGAGGAGACUGGAAUUCCUGGUGUAGCAGUGAAAUGCGUAGAUAUCAGGAGGAAUACCGAUGGCGAAGGCAGGUCUCUGGGCUGACACUGACGCUCAUGCACGAAAGCGUGGGGAGCAAACAGG